UACGUAGGGUGCAAGCGUUGUCCGGAAUUAUUGGGCGUAAAGAGCUCGUAGGCGGUCUGUCGCGUCGGCUGUGAAAACCCGGAGCUCAACUCCGGGCCUGCAGUCGAUACGGGCAAACUGGAGUACUGCAGGGGAGACUGGAAUUCCUGGUGUAGCGGUGAAAUGCGCAGAUAUCAGGAAGAACACCGGUGGCGAAGGCGGGUCUCUGGGCCGAUACUGACGCUGGAGGAGCGAAAGCGUGGGGAGCGAACAGG
rnacentral:rRNA from 1 species